UACGUAGGGUGCGAGCGUUGUCCGGAAUUACUGGGCGUAAAGAGCUCGUAGGUGGUUUGUCGCGUUGUUCGUGAAAUCUCACGGCUUAACUGUGGGCUUGCAGCUGAUACGGGCAGGCUUGAGUUCGGUAGGGGAGACUGGAAUCCUGGUGUAGCGGUGGAAUGCGCAGAUAUCAGGAGGAACACCUAUAGCGAAGGCAGCUUGCUGGGACGAUACUGACGCUAAGGCUCGAAAGCGUGGGGAGCGAACAGG
rnacentral:rRNA from 1 species